rnacentral:rRNA from 1 species
GAUGAACGCUGGCGGCGUGCCUAAUACAUGCAAGUCGAGCGAACAGACGAGGAGCUUGCUCCUCUGACGUUAGCGGCGGACGGGUGAGUAACACGUGGAUAACCUACCUAUAAGACUGGGAUAACUUCGGGAAACAGGAGCUAAUACCGGAUAAUAUAUUUAACCGCAUGGUUCAAUAGUGAAAGACGGUUUUGCUGUCACUUAUAGAUGGAUCCGCGCCGCAUUAGCUAGUUGGUAAGGUAACGGCUUACCAAGGCAACGAUGCGUAGCCGACCUGAGAGGGUGAUCGGCCACACGGGAACUGAGACACGGUCCAGACUCCUACGGGAGGCAGCAGUAGAGAAUCUUCCGCAAUGGGCGAAAGCGUGACGGAGCAACGCCGCGUGAGUGAUGAAGGUCUUCGGAUCGUAAAACUCUGUUAUUAGGGAAGAACAAAUGUGUAAGUAACUAUGCACGUCUUGACGGUACCUAAUCAGAAAGCCACGGCUAACUACGUG